rnacentral:lncRNA from 1 species
UUUUUUAGGGCUGCUCCUGCGGCAUAUGGAGGUUCCCAGGCUAGGGGUCUAAUCAAAGCUAUAGCUGCUGGCCUACACCACAGCCACAGCAACAUCAGAUCUGAGCUGUAUCUGCAACCUACACCACAGCUCACGGCAACACCAGAUCCUUAACCAACUGAGUGAGGCCAGGGAUCAAACCCGCGUCCUCAUGGAUGCUAAUUGGGUUCAUUAACUACUGCGCCAUGACGGGAACUCCAAAUGUACAACAUUUUGAAGAGGAAAGUUCGAUGAGAGAAUUUUGAAUUCUGCUCUAUAGCUCAAGGAACCAUAUCUGAUCACUUGUGAUGGAACAUGAUGGAAGAUAAUGUGAAAAAAAGGAACGUAUAUAUACACCUUUAACUGGGUCACUUCACUGUAUAGCAGAAAUUGACAGAACACUGUAAAUCAACUAUAAUAAAAAUUUUAAAAAAAAGAAAAGAAUUUUGGGGGAGUUUCCAUCAUGGCUCAGCGGAAAUAAGUCUGACUAGCAUCCAUGAGGAUGCAGGUACGAUCCCUGGCCUUGCUCAGUGGGUUAAAGGAUUUGUCAUUAUGCUGAGCUGUGGUGUAGGUCACAGAUGCCAGACGUGGCUGUGGCAUGGCUGGCAGCUGUUGCUCUGAUUCGACCCCUAGCCUGGGGACUUUCAUAUGCUGUGGGUGUACCCCUAAAAAGCAAAAAAAAAAAAAAAAAGAAUUUUAAGAAAACAAAAGGAAUGGUUUAUUUGAAACUAAACCCACUCAGUCUUUUUUCAAUUUCGGAAACUUUGUGAGCAUUACCUGGGAAGGAAUAUAUGAGAAGGUGCUGACAGUAAGACCCCAAGGGGAGCCUAUAAAGGACCACCCAGGCAGGACAUACAACAUGGGUAGAAAAAAAAGAUUCUUUUCACUUUAUUUAUUUAUUUAUUGUCUUUUUGCCUUUUCUAGGGCUAGUAUCCAUGGCAUAUGGAGGUUCCCAGUCUAGGGGUCCAAUCAGAGCUGUAGCCGCUGGCCUACCCCAAAACCACAGCAACACCAGAUCCAAGCCGAGUCUGUGACCUCAUGGCAACGCUGGAUCCUUAACCCACUGAGCAAGGCCAGGGAUCAAACCUGCAACCUCAUGGUUCAUUAACCACUGAGCCACGACGGGAACUCCUCUUCUCACUUUAAAUAUGAUGAAACUGAAGCAUAGAUAGAUAAAAAUGAACUCUUUAAGAGCACAUAAUGUAUUAAAUGGCAGGGCAAAGACCAUAGUUUAGUUUUCCUAACUCCUGCCCCACAACUUUCCCCCCAAAUUACAUUAACUGUAAAACUUUCACAGGCCAAGAGUUCCUGCUGUGGUGCGGCAGAUUAAGGAUUCAGCAUAGUUUCUGCGGCACCAAGGAUUACAAUCUCCAGCACAGUACAGUGGAUUAAAGAUCCAGAGUUGCCACAACUGCAGCAUAGGUGCCUGGCCUGGGAACUUCCAUAUGUAGCCAAAAAAUUUUUCACAGGACAAAGGAAAGAAGCAUUCCCUAUUAAACAACUUGAUUAGAAAACAAACAAACAUAAAAGGUUUACAAAUUAGUAACUCCAACAGCCAUCUGAUUUUGUCCUAUUACUUAAUGUCAAUAUGCUGGUGCUUGUGUUGCCUUCUUCAAGAAGGAAGACAGACCUAUUUACUUAGCUCCCUAAUGACUGGACAGAUUCAGUAUUUUAUGGUUUCCUACAUGAAGGUCAUUAUGCUAGACAACAAGGACAGAGAUAUAAAAGAUCUAAAAGUAGAUUUUUAUGCAGCCUUCAGUACUAUAGACCAAAAUAUCUUUAGUCCUGAGAUGGCCUAAAAUCUGUCUAAAUCUUUGAGUCAUCACAUUUUGUAUUUCUCUAUUAGGAUCAAUUU